AUUUUUCUCCACCAUUUUCUAUUACUCCAGGGAUUAAGACGGAAGGACACUGAUUUGGAGGCGACCUAUAAAAGAACAGUGAAACUGGGCAUCCUUGAAGUCAUGGAAGAAGACCUUUCACAGGCAGCAAAGCAGAUAUUUAUAAACAUCAUCAUCAUCAUCAAUCAGAGGGAACUGUAGUCAUGGAGGACCGAUCUGACUUUCCUGCUGUCAUGCUGCUCAACUGCCGUGGCUUGGAAGGAAUUCACAGAAGCUUAAUCGAAGGCAGCACCUUCAGUGGACUUAAAUAUCCCUUUCACAAGUGCAGAUUGCUGCAGGCUUCCUCAGUAAAAAAUUGCAAUUAUAUGUAAAUCAAUAUUUUUGUUGUUUUAAUGAUACUGAUGGCAAGUUGACAAUCUUGAUUAAUAUAAAAAAAAUCAAAAAAAUAUAUAAGUAAUACAAGCAGAGAUGCACCGAA